CGUGAAGUCGGAAUCGCUAGUAAUCGCGGAUCAGCAUGCCGCGGUGAAUACGUUCCCGGGCCUUGUACACACCGCCCGUCACACCAUGAGAGUCGGGAACACCCGAAGCCCGUAGCCUAACAGCAAUGAGGGCGCGGUCGAAGGUGGGUUCGAUAAUUGGGGUGAAGUCGUAACAAGGUACC
rnacentral:rRNA from 1 species